CACACCGCCCGUCACAUCACGAAAGCCAGCUGUACUAGAAGCCGGUGACUUAACCGCAAGGAAAUAGCCGUCCAAGGUAUGACUGGUGAUUGGGGUG
rnacentral:rRNA from 1 species